AAUGAACGCUGGCGGCAUGCCUUACACAUGCAAGUCGAACGGCAGCAUGACCUAGCUUGCUGGGUUGAUGGCGAGUGGCGAACGGGUGAGUAAUGCAUCGGAACGUGCCUUUUAGUGGGGGAUAACGUAGCGAAAGUUACGCUAAUACCGCAUAUUCUCUGAGGAGGAAAGCAGGGGACCUUCGGGCCUUGCGCUAGAAGAGCGGCCGAUGUCGGAUUAGCUAGUUGGUGAGGUAAAGGCUCACCAAGGCAACGAUCCGUAGCGGGUCUGAGAGGAUGAUCCGCCACACUGGCACUGAGACACGGCCCAGACUCCUACGGGAGGCAGCAGUGGGGAAUUGUGGACAAUGGGCGCAAGCCUGAUACAGCCAUGCCGCGUGAGUGAAGAAGGCCUUCGGGUGGUAAAGCUCUGGCGGCUGGGAAGAAAUCGCACCCUCUAAUACAGGGUGUGGAUGACGGUACCAGCAUAAGAAGCACCGGCUAACUACGUG
rnacentral:rRNA from 1 species